UACGUAGGUGGCAAGCGUUGUCCGGAUUUACUGGGCGUAAAGAGCGCGCAGGCGGUCGUUCAAGUCGAGUGUGAAAGCCCCCGGCUCAACUGGGGAGGGUCAUUCGAUACUGAUCGACUCGAAGGCAGGAGAGGGUAGUGGAAUUCCCGGUGUAGUGGUGAAAUGCGUAGAUAUCGGGAGGAACACCAGUGGCGAAGGCGACUACCUGGCCUGUUCUUGACGCUCUGGCGCGAAAGCGUGGGGAUCAAACAGGG
rnacentral:rRNA from 1 species